ensembl:lncRNA
ACUCUCUGCAGGGUUGUGCAAAUUGUUCCACCGUGCAGGCGCUGGCAGGUCGGACUGCGUGUUUGCUCGUUUUGUCCCGGAGCUAUGCCACGCUGAGGUCCCGACUGCCCUGACCCGUUUUGGACUGCUGCUGCUUUGUGUGGGGAUAAAACCCACACUUUUUACGGACCUUGCCUGCUGCUGCGUUCGGGUGCUGAGGGCCUCACUGGUGAUCCUGUUUGGUGAUGGUGUCCCUUCGUGUGUAGUGUCUUAUUCACUCCCCUCCUUUGUUUUGCUUUGCCCUUGUGUGUUUGGAGUGUUAAUUUUGGAUUGUGGUGCUCCCAUUUUAAGUUUAUACUUUCACCCCUCACUCACCUUGAGCACAAAUGCCCCAGCCCUGGAAUACAUGAUAAUUUAUACAAAUAGGAUAACUUUUUUAGAUUUGAAUUGUGCCCAAUAAACUGUUGUAUAUGCUUUUGGAAACACGUCUCUCGCCUGCUCAGUGUAACGAACUUGUGUUGUCCUUUUGUUUAGAUUUAGUAAUUUACCUUAUUCAUAGAUUUCUUUCUUUUCCCUGGGUGAUUUCUCCCAGGGUGGCGUUGCUGGUUUCCUUUAGUUUCUUUCUUUUUCCCCUAGUUAAAAACAUAGAUUAUUGGGGUAGUUCCUACCCCACCUCACGCUUGCCACAAACUUGGCGUUGCUGGCAGGACUUAUACUGAAAAAAAAAAAGGCAGAGACGUGUGUUCCUUUGUUUUUUGUUGUUUGUUUUUUUGUUUUUUUUGUUUUUCUGAAUAAGACAAAGCAGCAGCAGUCCCCUGGCAACCAUGGAGGAAGAAAUGCAAGAGUUGCGAGCUCUGGUUGCGCAGUUAAAGGCUGACAAUGAGAGGUUGCGUCAAGCUUCGUUGGUGCCGCCCUCUAGUGCUACACCUUCAACCUCCUCAGUACUGCCGACUGCCCUUACUUCUGCCAGUGCCCCUGCAGCCGAGAGGCCCCACAACCUGUCACGCAGGCAUUACAGGAGUACCAUCAGGUGACCACGCAGACCUCCCAGGAGCUGUCUGGGAAGGCAAAGGUCAGAGGUUCGGCAGACGCUCGGCACUCUCUGCAGGGUUGUGCAAAUUGUUCCACCGUGCAGGCGCUGGCAGGUCGGACUGCGUGUUUGCUCGUUUUGUCCCGGAGCUAUGCCACGCUGAGGUCCCGACUGCCCUGACCCGUUUUGGGCUGCUGCUGCUUUGUGUGGGGAUAAAACCCACACUUUUUACGGACCUUGCCUGCUGCUGCGUUCGGGUGCUGAGGGCCUCACUGGUGAUCCUGUUUGGUGAUGGUGUCCCUUCGUGUGUAGUGUCUUAUUCACUCCCCUCCUUUGUUUUGCUUUGCCCUUGUGUGUUUGGAGUGUUAAUUUUGGAUUGUGGUGCUCCCAUUUUAAGUUUAUACUUUCACCCCUCACUCACCUUGAGCACAAAUGCCCCAGCCCUGGAAUACAUGAUAAUUUAUACAAAUAGGAUAACUUUUUUAGAUUUGAAUUGUGCCCAAUAAACUGUUGUAUAUGCUUUUGGAAACACGUCUCUCGCCUGCUCAGUGUAACGAACUUGUGUUGUCCUUUUGUUUAGAUUUAGUAACUUACCUUAUUCAUAGAUUUCUUUCUUUUCCCUGGGUGAUUUCUCCCAGGGUGGCGUUGCUGGUUUCCUUUAGUUUCUUUCUUUUUCCCCUAGUUAAAAACAUAGAUUAUUGGGGUAGUUCCUACCCCACCUCACGCUUGCCACACUACCUUU